rnacentral:ncRNA from 2 species
UAUUCUUACUAGGGGGGGCAAGUAUGCCUGAGACGAGUAAUCGGACCCUUUGAACCUGAUUAAGUUAAGACUUGCGUAGGGAAGUGAAUUUAUCGUUUU